ACCAUUUCAUCUUGUUGAACUGGAUUUAGUGCAUGGUGUCUUGAGGCACUGUCCUUCCAUUCAGUGCUAAACCAUUUCUGAGCAGUUUAAUACUAAAUAAGGGCCCCUGCGCACCUGGCCCCUUCUUGAGUAUACACACUUCCUUCUAGUCAUAGCCAUUCAUACCAGCAAUAAGUGCUUUGAUUAGCUUACAAAUGGUCAGCUGACACUCUUAGAUUAUCA